AUGUUCGCAGAUCAUUGUGCCGUCAGCUGCCACUAUGAAUCUGAAUAUGACAUCUUUGGUGCCCGCCCGCUCACGGGCGAUCCACUUCUGUGGGAUGACAUCCGCUCAGAGAACAGCGACGAUUAUGUUGUGCAGGAGGAUGAAGAAUUCGCUAAGCUUGCAGAGGUGGAGGCAAAUUGCCCAGGGAGGAACAUCCCCUUGCAGCAAGCAAGGAAAAUCGACAAGGCAUGGAUAAGGAGCAUCGUGGAGCAGAACGAGAAAUACGACGCGCGGUGCCAGGAGAUUCUGCGCCAGGACGAGGGUGCUGAUCUGCCUCCUGUUCCACUAGAUGUGUUCCCUGAGGCAACAGGUUUAUGCGUCCAAAGGGGUCGCUGCUACCACAUUGAAUACAGGACCCAUGAUACUUCCACCACUGAUCCAGAUCUUGGAUAUGCCGAACCAGAAAUGAUGCUACAGAUAUUCUUUUUGCGCUUAUCAAGCUUCUCUGUGUCCUAUUCCUGCCCCAUCAGUGUAUAUGGAGUGUUCGCUGUUCGGGAUGUGGUGGAGCCACUGCAGAACCAUGUCUUCAACCGUUCCAGAGAUGACCCUGUCACGGUUGACCAGGAUCCGUUUACCUUGCCACUCUGUAGCCCUCGUCGAGGAAUGUACAUACCAUAUGACCUAGUAUUGCUAGAAGUUGAUCUUUGGAUAAAAAAGGAAGGGGAUGGGUCAGCCGACCAAAAAUUACUUUCUGCAUACCUUGAGCUGGAUGUCCGCACAGAAGGCGAUGGGUUCAUAUAUGGUUGUGUCCCUGCCUCCCUGGGGACAAUAUAUGCUGAACUGUGGCAGAAGUUUGAGAUAUGCAUGACUCUGGAGUGGUCCAGAACUCCGGAUAGGUCUGACUCUCAACUCCACUUGGAGCACAGCGAAAAGCCUUACCUGAUCAUCCAUCCACGACACUACUUCCUUCUGUGUCUUCUGACGCUCAUCAGCCAUCACCACUACGCAGCUGGAAACCAAACCUCUGGAGACGGAGGCAAUUGUUCUAGAUCAGUGUUGUUUGACGUGGUUGUGUACCUCUCUGGUCAAUGUCGAUCUAUGGAUGCUGAUGAAUUGAGGACACGCGAGGCCUUGAAUCUUGAUGGCUCCUUUGGUCUCUAA
rnacentral:rRNA from 1 species